UCCUUGUUGAAGGCAGAAAGGAGGGA
rnacentral:piRNA from 1 species